UAUAAGAUUUUGAGUUUUUGUUUACAACGUUUGACCACUCGUCUUAUUUAAAAAAUUUUAAAAUUAUUAUUUAUUUUAUUUGUGACUUAGUUUAUAUUAUCUAUAGUAUAUUAAGCAUAACUUUUCGUUUUCUAUAUUUGUAAACAACAUUUGAAUAAGACGAGUGGUCAAGCGUUGUAAACAAAAACU
rnacentral:pre_miRNA from 1 species